UACGGAAGAUCCGAGCGUUAUCCGGAAUUACUGGGCGUAAAGAGUUGCGUAGGUGGCAUAUAAAGCGAAUAGUGAAAGGUCCCGGCUCAACCGGGGAUACAUUAUUCGAACUUAUAAGCUAGAGCAUAGUAGAGGUACCUGGAAUUCCCAGUGUAGGAGUGAAAUCCGUAGAUAUUGGGAGGAACACCGAUGGCGUAGGCAGGGUACUGGGCUAUUGCUGACACUAAGGCACGAAAGCGUGGGGAGCGAACGGG
rnacentral:rRNA from 1 species